rnacentral:misc_RNA from 1 species
GCAUGGUGUUCCAACAGAAUAUUAUGGACCAAGAAAAGCAGAUUUACUUGUACGAUUCUUGAAGAAGUUUGUUGCUGCUGAUGUGGCCAUACUCAAUUCUGAUUCAGCCAUUAGUGAAUUUGUUGAAGCAGCCGGCACUAGUUUCCCUAUAUUUAUAGGCUUUGGUUUGAAUGAAUCUGCCAUAUCACAUUUUGCAGUAAAAUACAAGAAGAGAGCAUGGUUUUCUGUGGCAAAAGAUUUCUCGGAUAAGACCAUGGAAUUCUAUGAUUUUGACAAGGUACCUGCUUUGGUAGCUCGUCAUCCAAACUAUGAUGAACAAAGCAUCUUCUAUGGCCCCUUUGAAGAAAAUUUUGUUGAGGAUUAUAUCAAGCAGAGUUUGCUCCCACUGACUUUGCCCAUUACUGAAGAAACUCUGAGAUUGCUGAAAGAUGAUGAGAGAAAAGUUAUUCUAACAAUUUUGGAAGAUGAAACUGAUGAUAGGUCUAAGAAAUUAUUGAAGCUCCUGAAAGCUGCUGCAUCUGCAAACCGCGACUUCGUGUUUGUUUUUGUUGGGUUCAAGCAAUGGCAAGGGUUUGCUGAAUCAUUUGACGUUUCUAAGAAAACUAAGCUGCCAAAAAUGGUUGUUU